CUGCUGGAGGCGUUCAGAGCGCGGAGGCCCCGGGCGCGGGCCGGGCUCUCUCCCGCCUCCUCAGGCCCGGGGGUGCUGGAACUGCCGAGUGUCUUUGCUCAGUUCAAAAGCCACAGAAGAAGUUCUGGACGAUGUGGGCCUUCAAUCUUGUAAGAUGGGAAUAGAAAGAAGAGGAUCUACUCAGACCAGGACCCUGCUGCCCAAUCUCAGCUCUGGCUUUCUGGAUCUGUGCUUCUCUGGUAGAGGAACCCUGAGGACUGAUCUACUCUUGCAGUUCUAAAACCAUGGCCCAUGUAAGUUCACGUUUUUCUCCUUGUUGAAAUAUGUGUGUGUUGGCCAGGCACGGUGGCUCAGGCCUGUCAUCCCAACACUUUGGGAGGCCAAGGCGGGUGGAUCACCUGAGGUCAGGAGUUUGACACCAGCCUGACCAACAUGGUGAAACCCUGUCUCUACUAAAAAUACAAAAACAGCCCAGCAUGAUGGCAGAUGCCUGUAAUCCCAGCUACUCAGGAGGCUGAGGCAGGAGAAUCGUUUGAACCUGGGAGGCAGAGGUUGUAGUGAGCCAAGAUUGUGCCACUACACUCCAGCCUGGACAAGAGUGAAACUUGGUCUCAAAAAAAAAAAAAAAAAAGAAAUAUGUGUGUGUUUUUAGGUCAUGAAGGUAUUUUUAUUAAUUUUCCUGAAAUUUCCUACCAGGAGAGGUUCAUCAAAUAACAUGCUUCCAGCUCUUAUUCUUCCAGUUCCCAGCAUCCACCCAAUAUGUCCCAUUAUAAACUUCCUUUGUUCAUGUAAUUACUGAGCAAAUUAUUCAGCAUGUCUUAAGAGCCCUCUCUCAAGGGCAGUGGUGGAGUUAAGUCCUUUUAAGUAAAGAUUUGUGCUUUUUGGGUCAAGUCUAGUUUGGUAAGAUAGAGUCAAUGGUUGUAUUUGACCAUCCAUAACAAACUUAAAUUAUCACCGACUGGAGAUUUCCAGGAAGUGAAGAUGGAAAUUUGGUAUUGAAUGAUCAAACUCAGUCAUUCAUUGGGUGAAAUCUCAUGCUUUGUGUGGUUCAGUAAAUGACUGGGGACUUGCAAACUUGGAGGUUAUGGAUUUUGGCAAGAAACCCCUCAGGAAUAAAUAUCAGGACUAUUCUGAUGUUGGAUGGAACCUACUAAAUUUAGAUGACAUGUAUAUAAUUCAUUAUCCUUCCUUAGUAUUCUUUAACUCAAUGCAUUUAUCUAUUAUUACAUAACAAAUUAGACCAAAACUUAAUGGCUUAAGACAGCAAACAUUUAUCUCACAGUUUCUUUGGAUCAGAAAUCCAGACAUGGCUUAGCUUGCCUCUCUGGCUCUCGAUCUCCUACAAGGAGAUCCAGGUUUUGGUCAGGACUACAGUCAUCUUAAGGCUUAACUUGGGGUGGAUCUUUUUCUAAGCUCACUCAACUAGUUGUUAACCGGAUCCAGUUUCUCACAGGCUUCAGACUGACAGUCUUAGUUCCUCAUUCGCUGUUGCCUGGAAGCUGCUCUUGGUUUAUUGUCAUGUGGGUCUGUCCAUAGAAUAGCUUAAAACAUGGUAGCUGUGUUUUAAUCAGUGAGCAAAUGAGACAUCAAGAGAGGGAGAGAAAUACAGAAAAAGUGCUGAAGUAACAUUUCAGCACUGUAGCUAUUCUGCUUAUUAAGAGCAAGUCACUUGGUUCAGCCCACGUGCAAGGGAAGGAGAUUACACAAGCACGUAAUACUAGGGGAUGGGGAUAUUUGGUAACCUAUAUAGCAAGCCAGGUGCUCAGUGAGAGAUGGUAGAGAGCCACAAAAGAGAAUGUCAUUAUAAGUAGCAAGUGAACACAGAAUCCUAGAACUGGGGAAGAUCUUAAAAAUGUUGUGUAUCCUAACUGCAUUGUAAACAACUAAGUCUGAUAUUGCCCUAAGAUAUAGUUCUCAUGUGCCCCCAAAAUACAUGGAUUUGUCAAAACAAGAGAAAAAUGCUUAUGGUGAGAUCCGAUGUAAUGAAGUAUUUAAUGCUUGAGAGAAUUCUUAAUUUUAUGUAAACCCUGUUUUCUAAAAUCAAGGCCAGGUGCUGUAAUCCCUGUAAUCCCAGGUGUUCACACCUGUAAUCUCACCACUUAGGAAGGCUGAUAUGGGAGGAUUGCUUGAGACCAGGAGUUCAAGACCAGCCUGGCCAACACAGCAAGACCCUGUCUCUAUUAAAAAUAAUAAUAAUCAAAUGAGACUUUAUACUUCAUUUGGGGAAAAUAUCUGAUUAAAUUUUUUGCUCCUCUUAAAAGCAAAAAUUUUCCCCAGCAACUCAUAUGUAUUUAAAAAUUUAUAUGGCAGAUACCAAUCAGACAUUAUGCUUAUAUUCACUGUUUACUUUCAUAGGCAAACAUUAUUAUUUUAUUUAUUCCCAAAUGGUGCAAGUAUUUUAGAGUAUGCCACAUAGUUUUCUAUAUGCCAGCAGUCUUUUUCAAAAAUAUGUAUACAUUCCACUUCAGUCCCCCUCAUACUGUAAAUUUGUAGACAACAUGCUUGUUACAUUGCUCUCUUCCUGCAAUACAGUCCUUAUUUCCCCUCCAUCCAUCUUGAAAGUAUUCCUUUAAUUUCUCCAGUAACAGUAUGGGUUUGCCGUUUCGGGCAUCAAUGACAUUCAGGGAUGUGGCCAUAGACUUCUCGCAGCAGGAGUGGGAAUGUCUCGACCGUGUUCAGAAGACCUUGUAUUGGGAUGUGAUGAUGGAGAACUGUAGUAACUUGGACAUGACUUUUCUAAGCCAGAUGUAAUUACAUCAUUGGAGCAAGGAAAAGAGCCCUGGAUGAUUUUAAGGGAAGAAAAAGGAAGAUGGUGUACAGGUAAAAAUAAGUCUGACUGUGGGAAGCCAUCUGUGUAAAUAACAACCUGUGUGGUCAGGGAAGAGACAUACACUUGGGAUGUUAGUUGGAAAUCUCCAUUCACAGCAGAGAAAAGGCGUGUGAUUUAUAAGGAAGAUAAAUACUCUGCAUAAGCUACCCAGUGAGCUUCACCUUCACCUUCACCUUAGUUAACCACUCACUUUUUUUUUUAAAUUAUCCUUUAAGUUCUAGGGUACGUGUGCACAACGUGUAGGUUUGUUACAUAUGUAUACAUGUGCCAUGUUGGUGUGCCGCACCUGUUAACUUGUCAUUUACAUUAGAUAUAUCUCCUAAUGCUACCCCUUCCCCUACCCCCACUCCAUGACAGGCCCUGCUGUGUGAUGUUCCCCACUCUGUGUCCAAGUGUUCUCAUUGUUCAGUUCCCACCUGUGAGUGAGAACAUGCAGUGUUUGGUUUUCUGUCAUUGCAAUAGUUUGCUCAGAAUGAUGGUUUCUAGCUUCAUCCAUGUCCCUACAAAGGACAUGAACUCAUCCUUUUUUAUGACUGCAUAGUAUUCCAUGGUAUAUAUGUGCCACAUUUUCUUAAUCCAGUCUAUCAUUGUUGGACAUUUGGGUUGGUUCCAAGUCCUUGCUAUUGUGAAUAGUGCUGCAGUAAACAUACGUGGGCGUGUGUCUUUAUAGCAGCAUGAUUUAUAAUCUUUUGGGUAUAUGCCCAGUAAUGGGAUGGCUGGGUGAAAUGGUAUUUCUUGUUCUAGAUCCUUGAGGAAUUGCCACAGUCUUCCACAAUGGUUGAACUAGUUUACAGUCCCACCAACAGUGUAAAAGCAUUCCUAUUUUUCCACAUCCUCUCCAGGACCUGUUGUUUCCUGACUUUUUAAUGAUCACCAUUCUAACUGGUGUGAGAUAGUAUCUCUUUGUUAACCAUUCACUUUUUAUUCUUCUCAUAUUUCCUCCCAAUUUCAGUGAUGGGAAUGAUCCCUCCUGGUGGAUCAUUUUACCUGUAUUUUGGACCCUACUGAUUUCCAGAUCUUCUUGUUCACUUGUAUUUAUAUAUGUGGCUCCACUGCCUUAAAAUAUACUCAUUCCUGUAUCCAGCAAAUAAAAUGGAAGUUAAUAGUAUACUAGAUAAGAUAUAAAAUAAACAUGUAAACAAAUAGAUAAAUAAUAUCACGUAGUCAAAUAUACUGUGAAGGAAACUAACCAAUAACAGGGCAAAUUUAGGUGUAAAGUCAAGAACUGUUUUUCUGAGGAGGCAUUUGAUCAGAGAGGUGAAUUGUAAGGGCUUAGGCCAUUUGAGUAUACAGUUGACCCUUGAACAACACAGAUUUGAACUGUGUGGGUUCACUUAUUUGUGGAUUUUCUUUUGCCUCUGCCACCCCGAGACAGCAAAACCAACCUCUCACCUUCCUCCUCUUUCUCAGCCUACUCAACAUGAAGAUGUCAGGAUGAAGACCUUUGUGAUGAACUACUUCCACUUAAUGAAUAAUAAAUAUAUUUUCUCUGAUUUUUUUUUCUCUUUUUAGUAGAAGUACGGUCUCACUAUGUUGCCCAGACUAAUCUCAAACUCCGAGAUCAAACUCUGAGCUCAAGUGAUCCUCCCACCUCGGACUUCCAAAGUGCUGGGAUUACAGGCAUGAACCACUGUGCACAGCCUCUGACAGUUUCCUUACUAACGUUCUAACGUUUUCUCUCCCUUACUUUAUUGUAAAAGUAGAGUGUAAAUUACAUGUAACAUAUAAAAUAUGUGUUAAUCGACUGCUUAUAUCAUCAGUAAGGCUUCUGGUCAGCAGUAGCCUAUUAGUAGUUAGGUUUUAUGGAACUUAAAAGCUAUAAAUGAGGCUGAGUACAGUGGCUUGUGCCUGUUAUUCCAACACUUUGGGAGGCUGAGGCAGACAGAUCACUUGAGGCCAGGAUUUCAAGACCAGCCUGGCCAACUUGGCAAAACCUCAUCUCUACUGAAAAAAAACAAAAAUUAGCUGGGCGUGCUGGUGCACGCUUGUAAUCCCAGCUACUCGGGAGGCUGAGGCACAAGAAUGGCUUGAACCUGGGAGGUGGAGGUUGCAGUGAGCCGAGAUCGUGCCACUGCACUCCAGCCUACGUAACAAAGCAACACUCUGUCUCAAAAAAAAAAAAAAAAAAAAAAAAAGGCUAAAAAUGGAUUUUUGACUGCACAGGGCGUUGGCACCCCUAACCUGUAUUGUUUGAGGGUCAACUUGUAUGAGGAAGAGCAUAGCAAGAAGAAUAAACAGCAUAUGCAAAGGCCCUGAAGGGGUUGUGAGUGUUGUGUGUUUCAAGAGCAGCAGGUAGGUCACAAGAUAUGCAGUCAGUAUGUUAUGAGGAAUCUGAUCACAUAAGGUGCCAUUCAUUAAGAACUACAAUUGUAUUCUAAGAUUAAUUAGGAUCCGUGAUCUGAUUUAACUUUGUCUGUUUUUAAUUUUGUGAAAGUUAAAACUUUUGAUUAAUUAUAAGACUUUUUGAGGCAGGGUCUCACUCCGUCAUCCAGGAGGGCGUGCAGUGGUGCGAUCACAGCUCCUAGACCCAAGCAAUUCUCUUGCUUCAGUCUCCCAAGUAGCUAGGGCCACAGGUUUGUGCCACCAUACCUGGAUAAUUUUUUUAUUUUUGUAGAGACAUGGUCUCCCCAUUUUGCCCAAGCUGGUCAGCCUCCCAAAGUGCUGAGAUUACAGGCUUGAGCCAUUGCACCCAGCCAAUUAUAAGACUUACAUAAAACUCUAAAUAAUAACAAACAUAGGUUUGGUGAGUUAUUUAUUUUCUCCCAGAUACUUGUCAUAUAUUUAUUCAUUUUCAUUUAAAACAUUUUUUGUCCAAUAUGAGUGUGUUGGAUUUGUUUUCUUGUUUUUUUAGGUUAAUAUUCUGAAAUUACUUCUUUUACCUCUCCCAUAUUUCUGAGUUCUGUCACUUCCUUUUUGAGUUUUUCUAAUUCUGAUGUAUGUUGUUCUUUCAUUUCUUAUAGUAUUUUUUUAAAUCUUUUGAUUUUAAAUAGUAUAUAGUUUUCCUGUUUUGGUAAUGGAAGAUUUGUUUGUUUUCAUUGGCUAUAUGACUAUUAAGGUGGUAUUAAUCUAAUCUAGAUUGGUACAAAUUUAGGUGUUAAAUUUAAUCCUCAGGAAAACCAUUAGGAAAGUAACUCAAGAAGUAUAUAGUUAAAAAAACAAGGAAAUUAAAUUGGGGACUGGGCACAGUGGCUUAUGCCUGUAAUCCCAGCACUUUCGGAGGCUGAGGUGGGCAGAUCAUUUGAGGUCAGGAGUUGGAGACCAGCCUGGCCAAGAUGGUGAAACCCCGUCUCUAAUAAAAAUACAAAAAAAUUAGCUGGGUAUGGUGGCGCAUGCCUGUAGUCCCAGCUACUUGGGAGGCGGAGCCAGGAGAAUCACUUGUACCCAGGAGGCAGAAGGUGCAGUGAGCCAAGAUCGCGCCAUUGCACUCCAGCCUAGGUGACAGAGCGAGACUCCAUCUCAAAAAAAAAAAAAAAAAAAAAAAAAAAAAGAAAUUAAAUUGGGUACACUAGGAAAUAUGUAUUUAAAUGCAAAUAAAAGCAAGAAUGGAAGCAUAGAGGUGAAAAAAGGACAUAUAGAAAAAUGAACAGAAAAAUGUCAGAGGCCAGGUGUGGUAGCUCAUACCUACAAUAUCAGCACUCUGGGAGGCCAAGGCUGGAGGAUCACUUGAUCCUAGGAGUUUGAGACCAGCCUGGGAAACAUAGUGAGACUCUGUCUAUAAAACAAAAAGUGGCUGGGCGUGGUGGCUCACACCUGUAAUCUCAGCACUUUGGGAGGCCAAGGUGGACGGAUCACUUGAGGUCAGGAGUUCGAGACCAGCCCGGCCAACAUGAUGAAACCCUGUCUCUACUAAAAAUACAAAAAUUAGCCAGGCAUGGUGGCGCACACCUGUAAUCCCAGCUACUUGGGAGGCUGGGGCACAAGAAUCCCUUGAACCUUGGAGGGGGAGGUUGCAGUGAUCCAAGAUCAUGACACUGCAUUCCAGCCUGGGCGAUAGAGGAGACUCUGUCUCCAAAAAAAGAAAAAGAAAAAAAAAGGUGAGAUGUAAAUCUUAUUUUUAUAGUAACUUCCAGGCCAGGCACAGUGGCUUACACCUGUAAUCCCAACACUUUGGGAGGCCAACGCAGUUGGAUCACUUGAGUCCAGGAGUUUGAGACCAGCUUGGGCAAUGUGACAAAACCCCAUCUCUACAAAAGUAUACAAAAAUUUAGCCGGGCAUGGUGGAACAUACCUGUGAUCCCAACUACUUGAGAGGCUGAGUAGAAUUGCUUGGGCCUGAGAGGUCGAGGCUUUAGUGAGCUGUGAUUGCACCACUGUGCUCCAGCCUGAGAGACAGAGUGAGACCUUGUCUCAAAAAAAGAAAUAAAAAAGUAACUUCCAGACAAAAGCUGUUAUUAGAGAAAAGAAGUACAUUUUAUAACAAUAAAUGAUUAGGAUGGGCCCAAUGGCUCAUGCCUGUAAUCUCACCAUUUUGGGAGGCUGAGGCAGGAAGAUCACUUGAGGCCAAGAGUUUGAGACCAGCCUGGCAACAUAGUGAGACCCUAUCUAUACAAAAAAUUUUUACAGUCAGCCAGGUGUGGUGAUGCAUUCUUGUAGUGCCAGCUAUUUGGGAGUCUGAGGCAGGAGCCUAGGAAUUCGAAGUUAUAAUGAACUAUGAUCGUGCCAUUGUAUUUCAGCCUGGGUGACAGAGCAAACCCUAUCUCUAAAAUAAAUUAAUUAAAAAAAAAAAAAAAGCUGGGUGCGGUGCCUCACUCCUAUAAUCCUAGCACUUUGGGAGUCUGAGGUGGGUGGAUUGCCUGAGCUCAAGAGUUCGAGACUAUCCUGGGCAACAUGGCAAAACCCUGAGUCUACUAAAAUACAACAAAAAUUAGCUGGGCAUAGUGGCACAUGCCUGUAGUCCCAGCUACUUGGAAGGCUGAGGCAGAAGAAUUGCUUGAACCCAGGAGGCAGAGGUUAGAGAGAGCCCAGAUCGGGCCACUGCACUCCAGCCUGGGCACCAGAGUGAGACUCUGUCUCAAAAAAUAAAAUGAAAAAAAAUAAAUGAUCUAUCCAUUAAGAAGAUAUAACAAUUAAGAACAUAUAUCAUCACGCCUGUAAUCCCAGCACUUUGGGAGGCUGAGGCGGGCGGAUCACGAGGUCAAGAGGUGGAGACCAUCCUGGCCAACACGGUGAAACCCUGUCUCUACUAAAAAUACAAAACUUAGCUGGGCGUGGUAGUGCACACCUGUGUAGUCCCAGCUACUCUGGAGGCUGAGGCAGGAGAAUUGCUUGAAUCAGGAGGCGGAGGUUUCAGUGAGCCAAGAUUGCACCACUGCACUCCAGCCUGGGUGACGGAGCAACACUCCGUCUCAAAACAACAACAAAACAACAAAAUAUAUCUAUAUAUAUCUAUAUAUAUCUAUAUCAUCUGUUAGUAGAGACCCAGAUAUAUGAAGCAAAACCUGACAGUUGAAGAGAUAGACAAUUGAACAGUAACUUAACCUUCUUCAUAUGGAUAAAGCUACUAUGCAAAAAAUGAAAAAGAAAAUAGACAUUAUGACUAACACUCUCAAGUGUAGACCUAUGGAGUAUUCCACUCUGCAGUAGCAGAAUAUACACUUAUCUCACUUGCACAGGUGAUAUUCCCCAGGAUAGAUCAUAUGUUAGGCCAUAAAACAAGUCUUAAUGAAUGUAAAAGGAUUGAAAUCAUACAAAGUAUACUUUCCAGCCACAAUGGAAUGAAAUGAGAAAGGGGAAUUCAUAAAUAUUUGAUAAACAACAUACUUCUAAAUAUCAGUUGGUCAAAACACAAAUCCAAAGAGAAAUUAGAAAAUACAUUCAGAGGAGGCUGGGCAUGGUGGCUCAUGCCUGUAAUCCCAGCACUUUGGGAGGCCAAGGCGAGUGGAUCACCUGAGGUCAGGAGUUUGAGACCAGCCUGACCAAUAUGGUGAAACCCCGUCCCUCCUAAAAAUGCAAAACUUAGCUGGGCAUGGUGGUGGUGUGCCUGUAAUCCCAGCUACUCGGGAGGCUGAGACAGGAGAAUCCCUUGAAUCCCGGAGGCGGCGGUUGCAGUGACCUGAGAUUGCGCCACUGCACUCCAGCCUGGGCGACAGAGCGACAGAGCGAGACUUGUCUCAAAAAAAAAAAAAAAAAAAGAAAGAAAAGAAAAAGAAAAAGCAAA